rnacentral:misc_RNA from 1 species
GUUCGGAGUUUCAAUGAAAUAAUUGAGCUACACAUAGGAGUCCAUUUGCUCAGUAAGAAAUUCAAUAGUUCUAGACCAAACACAAAGUUAAAAUUUUCACUGCAUGAAGCUAAAAAGGGUAACCUAGCGCACGAAGCAUCUCACACUUUCACUGCAUGAUGCUAACUUUGAAAAAUAGCGAGAUGAAAUACAGCUUAUAACAAAGCAAUUUGUAAGUCCAGUGGCUAUAGUAUGACUUACAGAAACAGCAAUUCGUGAGCCUU